rnacentral:lncRNA from 1 species
AAGUCCUUACACCAAAUUCUAAGUGAAAUCCCAAGAUUUAGCAUCAUUAUGUAUUACACCUAAAUCAUCUAUCUAACGAUCACACACAAAGCAUAUAACAUGACAAACAUUCAAGCCAUAUGACCUUGGUCCUCAAUCAACCCAAAACAAUGAAUGAACCAACUAAAGAUCAUUUAUUUCAAAACAUGCACCAUUGAAUUCACUUAACAUAUGUAUUUAAGGCAAACGGAGCAAUCAAUGUGUAACCCACAUGAUACCUAAAACCUCUUUGUAGACAAUUGAUAAAGGAUGUCAUUCCAUGAAGGAAGCACCUCAAGAUUCCUAACGCAUGAAUUUCUAAAAAUAUUAAGAACAUGAACAAGUCAAUCAAGAAUAGAUCAUAGUAGCAUGUCACACCGUCAUUCUACAACAUAUUGAAAGCAAUUUGGACAAAUCUACUAUCUCAUCUUAAGA